rnacentral:rRNA from 1 species
AACGAACGCUGGCGGCAUGCCUAACACAUGCAAGUCGAACGAGAUCUUCGGAUCUAGUGGCGCACGGGUGCGUAACGCGUGGGAAUCUGCCCUUGGGUUCGGAAUAACAGUUAGAAAUGACUGCUAAUACCGGAUGAUGUCUUCGGACCAAAGAUUUAUCGCCCAGGGAUGAGCCCGCGUAGGAUUAGGUAGUUGGUGGGGUAAGAGCCUACCAAGCCGACGAUCCUUAGCUGGUCUGAGAGGAUGAUCAGCCACACUGGGACUGAGACACGGCCCAGACUCCUACGGGAGGCAGCAGUGGGGAAUAUUGGACAAUGGGCGAAAGCCUGAUCCAGCAAUGCCGCGUGAGUGAUGAAGGCCUUAGGGCUGUAAAGCUCUUUUACCCGGGAUGAUAAUGACAGUACCGGGAGAAUAAGCUCCGGCUAACUUCGUGCCAGCCGCCGCCGUAAGAC